rnacentral:rRNA from 1 species
UAGGGAAUCUUCCGCAAUGGGCGAAAGCCUGACGGAGCAACGCCGCGUGAGUGAUGAAGGUCUUCGGAUCGUAAAACUCUGUUAUUAGGGAAGAACAAAUGUGUAAGUAACUAUGCACGUCUUGACGGUACCUAAUCAGAAAGCCACGGCUAACUACGUGCCAGCAGCCGCGGUAAUACGUAGGUGGCAAGCGUUAUCCGGAAUUAUUGGGCGUAAAGCGCGCGUAGGCGGUUUUUUAAGUCUGAUGUGAAAGCCCACGGCUCAACCGUGGAAAGUCAUUGGAAACUGGAAAACUUGAAUGCAGAAGAGGAAAGUGGAAUUCCAUGUGUAGCGGUGAAAUGCGCAGAGAUAUGGAGGAACACCAGUGGCGAAGGCGACUUUCUGGUCUGUAACUGACGCUGAUGAGCGAAAGCGUGGGGAUCAAACAGG